UACGUAGGGUCCAAGCGUUACUUGGAAUUACUGGGCGUAAAGCGUGCGCAGGCGGUUUUAUAAGCCAGAUGUGAAAUCCCCGGGCUUAACCUGGGAAUGGCAUUUGGGACUGCAAGGCUUGAGUGCGGCAGAGGAGACUGGAAUUCCCGGUGUAGCAGUGAAAUGCGUAGAUAUCGGGAGGAAUACCGGUGGCGAAGGCGGCGGCCUGGGGCGAGACUGACGCUGAGGCGCGAAAGCGUGGGGAGCAAACAGG
rnacentral:rRNA from 1 species